rnacentral:rRNA from 1 species
CUGAGACCUGAUGCCGAGCCGAUUGUGGUGAAGUGGAUGAUCCUAUGCUGUCGAGAAAAGCCUCUAGCGAGUUUCAUGGCGGCCCGUACCCUAAACCGACUCAGGUGGUCAGGUAGAGAAUACCGAGGCGUUCGGGUGAACUAUGGUUAAGGAACUCGGCAAAAUGCCCCCGUAACUUCGGGAGAAGGGGGGCCAUUCCUGGUGAGAACACUUGCUGUUCGAGCUGGGGGUGGCCGCAGAGACCAGCGAGAAGCGACUGUUUACUAAAAACACAGGUCCGUGCGAAGCCGUAAGGCGAUGUAUACGGACUGACGCCUGCCCGGUGCUGGAACGUUAAGGGGACCGGUUAGUGACCUUUCGGGGUUGCGAAGCUGAGAACUUAAGCGCCAGUAAACGGCGGUGGUAACUAUAACCAUCCUAAGGUAGCGAAAUUCCUUGUCGGGUAAGUUCCGACCUGCACGAAUGGCGUAACGACUUCUCGACUGUCUCAACCAUAGGCCCGGUGAAAUUGCACUACGAGUAAAGAUGCUCGUUUCGCGCAGCAGGACGGAAAGACCCCGGGACCUUUACUACAGUUUGAUAUUGGUGUUCGGUUCGGCUUGUGUAGGAUAGCUGGGAGACUGUGAAGCUCGGACGCCAGUUCGGGUGGAGUCGUCGUUGAAAUACCAGUCUGGUCGUGCUGGAUGUCUAACCUGGGUCCGUGAUCCGGAUCAGGGACAGUGUCUGAUGGGUAGUUUAACUGGGGCGGUUGCCUCCUAAAGGGUAACGGAGGCGCCCAAAGGUUCCCUCAGCCUGGUUGGCAAUCAGGUGUUGAGUGUAAGUGCACAAGGGAGCUUGACUGUGAGACCGACGGGUCGAGCAGGGACGAAAGUCGGGACUAGUGAUCCGGCGGUGGCUUGUGGAAGCGCCGUCGCUCAACGGAUAAAAGGUACCCCGGGGAUAACAGGCUGAUCUUCCCCAAGAGUCCAUAUCGACGGGAUGGUUUGGCACCUCGAUGUCGGCUCGUCGCAUCCUGGGGCUGGAGUCGGUCCCAAGGGUUGGGCUGUUCGCCCAUUAAAGCGGUACGCGAGCUGGGUUUAGAACGUCGUGAGACAGUUCGGUCCCUAUCCGCUGUGCGCGUAGGAGUCUUGAGAAGGGCUGUCCCUAGUACGAGAGGACCGGGACGGACGAACCUCUGGUGUGCCAGUUGUUCUGCCAAGGGCAUGGCUGGUUGGCUACGUUCGGGAGGGAUAACCGCUGAAAGCAUCUAAGCGGGAAGCCUGCUUCGAGAUGAGGACUCCCACC